rnacentral:tRNA from 1 species
GGGAUAGCUCAGUUGGCUAGAGCACACGGUUCAUACCCGUGGUGUCGCUGGUUCAAAUCCAGUUCCCGCUA